CCGACAUAAGCAUGACAAAUCUGUUCGGUGUGAAUCAAAGAUGUUAUCCCAGCAGCAGAUAGACUCAUACCAUGUAUAACACAUUUCCAUUGUCUUGUUCCGAGUUCUCUUAAUUCCUUUGGUUUUGGAAUGCCCUGGAAUGCCAUAUGAUGUCCAAUGAGAAAAACUAUCAGAGAUCCAACAGAGGGCAGUAGGCCUCAGUUGCUGCACAUGCACUCCCAGAACGACCCAAUUCAAAAAGCAAUUAUCUGAGUGUGUACUCCUGGGCCGAUGAAUAGACUGCUUCUAAAGUGCCAUAUUAACCUAGUUGAAAAGUAUCGAUUGGGGUCCCUGUCCAAACGAAGAGGCACAAGAAAGCAUUGGAAACAGAGACGUUGAGAUUGCGAAUAUGAGCCUGAUGCUGAAUGUACUGUGGAAUGACAAUGACAAGUGAUGGUAAAAUCAUCUGCUCAAAUUGAACCCUUUUAAGUUUCAAAAGUGUGAAACAGAGUUACAAUAAGAGAGAAAGCAAGCAUGAGCGGGGAUGGAGCAACAUUCAACAUGCAGACAGGCAGAACCGAUGACCUCCCUUCCCGCUCCUGUCAAUCAAACGGCCACUCUGCCCUCCCUGAACUGAUGGGGGUCAAAGAUGGAUGUGGACAAAAAGGAAAGUCCAUCUGACAGACAACAAUCUCUCAUCUGUGCUUCAUGUGGAGGGAGGAGAGCGAAAUGAAGAGUGGAUGAGCACAGCGGGAUCAGACGGAUGACAAGGCCGGCUGCAGACUUUGUGCUGUCCCUGAGGGAAUCAGUUGUCUGUCAGAAGUACACAGUCAUGUCAGACUGCCAUCCUUGAGGAGCAGAAAGUAUAUUUAUUUCAGCAGAUGAAUUCACAGGUUUGAUGUGAGAGAAUCAACAGAUGUGGGUUUGGAGCAGCUGAAGGAGAAUCAGAAUCAAAUGUGUGCAAUUAAAGAAGAUGUGUGUUUAUUUUGUUGUAUAUUUAAGAAAUGUUGAGGUCCC
ensembl:lncRNA